AAGACUAUAGACCUGCGGAGUACCUGCGGAGGGAUCAUUAGUGAACGCCCUCACGGGCUUAUAGCUAUUCCAAACCUCUGUGAACCGUGCCCUUCGGGGCUAUUUUACAAACAUGGUGUAAUGAACGUCAUAUAUCAUAACAAAACAAAACUUUUAACAACGGAUCUCU
rnacentral:misc_RNA from 1 species